GACGAACGCUGGCGGCGUGCUUAACACAUGCAAGUCGAGCGGUAAGGCCCUUUCGGGGGUACACGAGCGGCGAACGGGUGAGUAACACGUGGAUGACCUGCCCUUAGCUCUGGGAUAAGCCUGGGAAACUGGGUCUAAUACCGGAUAUGACUCCAUGACGCAUGUUGUGGGGUGGAAAGCCUUGUGCGGCUAGGGAUGGGCCCGCGGCCUAUCAGCUUGUUGGUGGGGUGANGGCCUACCAAGGCGACGACGGGUAGCCGGCCUGAGAGGGCGACCGGCCACACUGGGACUGAGACACGGCCCAGACUCCUACGGGAGGCAGCAGUGGGGAAUCUUGCGCAAUGGGCGAAAGCCUGACGCAGCGACGCCGCGUGGGGAUGACGGCCU
rnacentral:rRNA from 1 species